rnacentral:rRNA from 1 species
UGGGGAAUUUUGGACAAUGGGGGCAACCCUGAUCCAGCCAUGCCGCGUGUCUGAAGAAGGCCUUCGGGUUGUAAAGCUCUUUCGGCGGGGAAGAAAUUGCACUCUCUAAUACAGGGUGUAGAUGGCGGUACCCGCAUAAGAAGCACCGGCUAACUACGUGCCAGCAGCCGCGGUAAUACGUAGGUGGCUAGCGUUACUCGGAUUUACUAGGCGUAAAGCGUGCGCAGGCGGUUAGGUAAGCCAGAUGUGAAAUCCCCGAGCUCAACUUGGGAAUUGCGUUUGGAACUGUCUAACUAGAGUUUGGCAGAGGGGGGUAGAAUUCCACGUGUAGCAGUGAAAUGCGUAGAGAUGUGGAGGAAUACCGAUGGCGAAGGCAGCCCCCUGGGCUAAAACUGACGCU